rnacentral:lncRNA from 1 species
GGCCAAAGCGUGGAAGAGCUGGCUGACUCCUGGAGCGAUGCUCAGCUUUCAGCCCGGUCCGGGGAGAGUUUCGGGAGCAGCAGGCGCAGUCCAAGGCCAUUGGGGACUUUGGGACASCCAGAGGUUCCCCCCAUGGGCUGGGGUUUGUGCCCAGAGCAUUCGUUUGAAGAUCCGAGUGCGGUUUCUGCGCCUGCUUGUGCAAGAGCCGGAUCUUCAGAAGGACGUGGUGGUGGUGCCCGCCGCAGAGAGCAGUUUGGGCCAAACGGCCCCAGGGUCCAACGGCGCGGCCGCCCGCCCCGUGCCCGCAGCCUGUCCCGGGCAAAGCCUCCGGGUUCCUCUUACCGCGCGCCGGCUCCUCGCGGCAUUUCCUCAUGCUCAGCUUGAACUGGAGGCUCAGAAGAAAAC